AAAAGUAAUGGAAGAUUGAAGGGUGUUGCUGCAAAUUUUACCUCCCUUUGCUCCCAAAAUCUGAAAUUGUAGACUGCGCCUUGGUUUCUGCUUUGGUUCCUCAAGAUAAAUGCACCAGUCUCUCUCCUUCUCCUCCCUUGCAUCCCUCUCUCUCGUUUGAGGCUGGUAGGUGAUGAAACGCACAAGAUUUCUCUCCCUAUCUCGCACUUUUGCUCACGGUUUUGUGGUUGGAGG
rnacentral:lncRNA from 1 species